AGAUCGAACUGUAGAGUUUGAUCCUGGCUCAGAUUGAACGCUGGCGGCAUGCCUUACACAUGCAAGUCGAACGGUAACAGGUCUUCGGAUGCUGACGGAUAACUGCUCGAAAGAGCAGCUAAUACCGCAUACGACCUGAGGGUGAAAGCGGGGGAUCGCAAGACCUCGCGCGAUUGGAGCGGCCGAUAUCAGAUUAGGUAGUUGGUGGGGUAAAGGCCUACCAAGCCUACGAUCUGUAGCUGGUCUGAGAGGACGACCAGCCACACUGGGACU
rnacentral:rRNA from 1 species